rnacentral:rRNA from 1 species
UCGGGAAUUUUGGGCAAUGGGGGAAACCCUGACCCAGCAACGCCGCGUGAAGGAUGAAGUAUUUCGGUAUGUAAACUUCGAAAGAAUAGGAAGAAUAAAUGACGGUACUAUUUUAUAAGGUCCGGCUAACUACGUGCCAGCAGCCGCGGUAAUACGUAGGGACCAAGCGUUGUUCGGAAUUACUGGGCGUAAAGCGUGCGCAGGCGGCCGCGCAAGUCAGGUGUGAAAUCCCCGGGCUUAACCUGGGAAUUGCGCUUGAAACUAUGCGGCUUGAGUGUGGCAGAGGGGGGUGGAAUUCCACGUGUAGCAGUGAAAUGCGUAGAGAUGUGGAGGAACACCGAUGGCGAAGGCAGCCCCCUGGGCCAACACUGACGCUCAGGCACGAAAGCGUGGGGAGCAAACAGGAUUAGAUACCCCCGUAGUCCCUGAGCGGGCUGGCAAGGCGCAU